GUUAAAGAAAGAAGAAAAUGUUGGUUAAGUAAUAAGAAGAAUUAUGUUUAAAGCUCAUUUAAUAGUAAAAUGGAGCCCGUAGACCUUCUCCUGCUCUGCAGGUACAAGUUAUUUCCCUUGGUUUCUCCUGCCUCUAACAUAAGUAGUAGAGAUGGAGAGGAUUUCCAUUUGAAGUUCUGAGCUAUCAAAGAGAGCACUGCUCUGGGCAACCAUGCUGUCCUGGGCCACUCCUGCCACCUUUCCUACUAUGUACCUAGGCUGGCUCAAAAUACCUGUAUGCUCUCCUCCAGGUGCAGGUACCAGACCUUGCAGCCCUUACUGAAACUUGUGGGUUAAUAGGUAGGGAGUUUGUGAUUCUCUUCCUCUCCCUCAAGACUUAUUCCCCUGAGUAGGGCUGUAGAGUGAAACCCCUUUGCUACUCCAGCAUUGCCAAUACCCCGUUUUGUCUAGAAUGCACCCUUCCUGUCUAACCUUGAUGGACUCUUUAGGAAGUAUUAUAAGAUAAAACUCUGGAGCUUUCAGGUUGUGUCCUUGGAUUCCUUCUGAGUAUCCCCUCUCAUGGGUUGAGUUUCCUACUGGGCCAUCCUACCCCCAGCAUAGACCAUUUAACCAAGCAGAGCAGAUUUCUGUCCAGGACUGAGUCUAGGACAGUGGGAGGUUAGCAUGAGAGAACACCAUUUAUUUCAUCAUUCACUCACUUACGUGUUCCUUAAUCAUACAGUCACUCAUUCAAGAAGCAUUUAUUGAAUAUUUACUCUGCACAAGUUAUUUUGCUGCCAUGACCAGUGAGGUACAGUGAUGAACACGACAGCAGAGUCUCUGCCCUGCAUGACAAAGCUGAAGAGAAACAUUAUAUAAGUGAUGAACAAAUUAAGAAGGUCACAAGUUGUGGGAACACACUGAAGAAAUCAGCAAGAUAUUGAAGAAAAGCAACCUGGAAGGGGACACUUCAGACAAGGUGGUCCAGGAAUGCUCUGAAUGAAUUAGUAACGUCUGAGCUGAGACAUAAAGAUGAAGAGGAGGGAGCCGUAUGAAGACCUGAGGAAGAGCAUCUUCUAGAGAGGAAGCUGAUGGAAAUGCUGACAGAUGGCAAAGAACCUGGAACACUCUGUGGGACUGGGCAGGCCAGACCAUCCUCGGCUUUGUGGCAUGUGUAAGUGAAAUUUUAUCCCAAGAACAGUGGGAAGACAUCGAAUGGUUUGGAGCUGCAGGAGAGACAUGAUCAGAUUUAUGUAUUAAAAAGAGAGCUCUGGCUGCUGUAUAGAGAACAAAUUCUAGGUACACCUGGGGGUUCCAGUUAAAAGCUAGAGUCAUCUGGACAGGAGAUAAUGGUGAAGACAAUGACAGUGGAGAGCUAGUGGCAUGCCCAGGAAAGUUUUUGGACCUAGAACGGACAACACUUGCUGAAGGACUGGUAAUUGAAGAGUGAGAAAGGAAGAAUGCCAGAUUGACUCCUGAGACUUGUUCUUGAAAGGCUGGGCAGGCAGCAAUGCCAGUUUCUGGAUGGAGCAAACUGAAGGAGGCUGUCCCUGUGGUCUCUCCCUGGCGCCCUGUGAGCUGAUGGAGGCAGACAGGAAUGUGGGCUGCAAAUGUGCUCCCUUCACUUUGGUGAUAGGAAACACCAGUGGCCAACUUGGCCUUGUCCUUUCCUGCAAUUCUCCUAAUGACUCCAUGAGGGGGUCCUAUAAUACCCUGAGACAGAAAAGAGAUCUGCCCUGGAUUCCACCGUGACACCCCACAUGCCUGCCCUCAGGAUGCGGUGCACCCGAGGACUGCUUCGUCCGGCCUCACACCACACGGGUCUUGUGUUACCCUGCACUGGUUAGUGUCUCUCUGUGACACAGCUUCGUCGUAGAGCAGGCAGAAGCCGGGACUCACAGGUCCGUCGUGCAGGUGAUGUGAAAUUUAGAUUAAUGAGUCAAGUAACAGGAGAUUCUUUUGGAAACUCCCAGGAGGGCCAAAGUGAGACACAAGCAUCAGGUAAGACCUUGCCUACUUGUCAGGUACCCACCUUGCCGCCGACUUUGGAGAACCAGGCUGUCCUUCUUUUCCUUCUUACUCUCGGUUCCACGUUCUUGUCCUACAGGAAGUUCCUCUUUGCAGGAUAUGCACCCGCUAUUUUAGCUCUGUUCCACCAAAAGGAGAUCUAACUCAGAAAAGCUGAGUACUCCUGAGGUUGAAUGAUGAUCGGUGUAAUACUAAGACCUGGAGGCUAGAACACAGGCCUGCAGCAAGAGUCUUGCUUUGAAAGUCCAUGGAAACAGCUUAAUGAGUUCUGUGUGUUUUUGAAGGGGAAGCAGGUGUCCCAGUGAGUUGAACUUGUGUUGAAUAUGAUGUUUCACUAAAUGUCUCUAAACUCUCUAAUGUCUAAAUGUCACUAGACUCUCAGGAUGCCUGGCUGGCUCUG